rnacentral:rRNA from 1 species
UGUCUCCUACGGGACGCAGCAGUGGGGAAUAUUGGACAAUGGGGGAAACCCUGAUCCAGCGACGCCGCGUGAGUGAAGAAGCAUUUCGGUACGUAAAGCUCUAUCAGCAGGAAAGAAAAUGACGGUACCUGACUAAGAGGCCCCGGCUAACUACGUGCCAGCAGCCGCGGUAAUACGUAGGGGGCAAGCGUUAUCCGGAUUUACUGGGUGUAAAGGGAGCGUAGACGGCAGCGCAAGUCUGGAGUGAAAUGCCGGGGCCCAACCCCGGAACUGCUCUGGAAACUGUGAAGCUGGAGUGCAGGAGG